GACGUAGGGCGCGAGCGUUGUCCGGAUUUAUUGGGCGUAAAGAGCUCGUAGGCGGUUUGUCGCGUCUGCCGUGAAAGUCCGGGGCUCAACUCCGGAUCUGCGGUGGGUACGGGCAGACUAGAGUGAUGUAGGGGAGACUGGAAUUCCUGGUGUAGCGGUGAAAUGCGCAGAUAUCAGGAGGAACACCGAUGGCGAAGGCAGGUCUCUGGGCCGAUACUGACGCUGAGGAGCGAAAGCAUGGGGAGCGAACAGG
rnacentral:rRNA from 1 species